AGUAUUGAUGACCGAUGGUCUUGCAUGCGGACCCAUAACAAGUCAAAAGAAGCCGCUACACCAGCAACCAGUUAAAGAGGAACUUUCGGAAUUGAAUUACAUUGAAAUUGAGUUGAAUCACAUUCCAGAUGAGCACAGGUUUUAUAUACACGGGCAAGACAACAAAACAGACUAUUCGGAAAUCGAGUUUGGUGUCAUUGGCGAUCCCCUGCCAUCCAGUGAGUCUGAAAUGGAUGACGAUAACGACACAGACAUAAUCGAUUGUAUUGUAGUCAAAGAUUAGAUAAACAAUACAGUAACUGUGCAUUCACUUAUGAGCCACUUCAUAUACCAUACUGAACAAAUCAAACCGUGUAAAACGUGAUAGUUCACUGGCUUAAAUCUGUUAAUAACCAAUCCUUAUUUAUUUACCUUAUUUAGUUAAUUUAUGUAAAAUACACGAAGUAUGAUAACUGUAAAUAAACAUUUGCCUUGACCAUAAUGAAAUUAUAAACAGAGUUUUGCAUCUUUCAUUUUAUCAGGGUUUUUAUUGAAUAUAAACAUUUAGUGUUUUUAAUCUUCUUUCAUACAUUUUUAUACGUAUGUUUUCGAUAUUUGCACUACAGUGCUUCUAGUGGCAACCUCAUUGGCUAUACAUAAUUUGUUGUUAUUAAGA